GCCCAAAACCAGAAGUUGUUGAUGUGUGUGGACUUGAAUUGAAGGCAUUCUUCACAUCGGUUCAUUUUGAUAAAAAAAAAUUAUAUUUCAUAAAAAAGUUGAGGAUUUUUAAAAUUUUCAUGAAUUUUGGUGUUUGAAAUUUUGGUUACUGGGUUCUUAGGAGGUGACCUUUCGAUCUGGGUUGAUUUCGUUCAAAUCGGAGAGUUUCGGUUCAAACUUUUCCCUUGUUAAUGGAGUUUCAUUAUUAUUAGUCACUUAUCUAUUUAUUAUUUGUUUCAGUUGACAGAGAAAGCGUCGUAGUAUUUGGUUGGUGGUGUCUUCCUCUACCCGGAAAGAAAAUGCUGCGAAGUAAAAAAGAACGCUGGUCUACAUUUGCGAAUUUACUCGUAUUGUUUUUCAUUUCGCUCAAACUGGCAUUUUAAACAGAUAAUUGAUUCACACGCUGCCGCAGAUGCUUGAUUUCUAGCAGCAUGAACGAGUCGUAUUUAAUGGAAAGAAAACACUCUGCAGAAUAUUAUUGAAAUACGAGUAGUUUGCAUGAGCUGUUUCCCACCCACUAACGUCCUCAAGCUGAAUCACUAAUGAGGACUCCUGGAAAAUUCAAACUAUUACAUAUAUUGUGCACUAUUGAAAAUCUCAAUACCUAUAUUACUGGUCAAGGUGAACGACAUAUAGGUUUGUAUCAUACUGAUAGUGAGUCCCAACUUUACGAAGAAUUAUUUCGAAAUUGGAUACUGUCUACUUGAACAUGCAAAGUCCAUUUAUUUGGAAGUACCAAGUACCUACGAGUGAUUAGAAAGCUAUUGGGAGUACCUGCUUAUAAUUGGUAAAAAUACGAGAAUUAUUUUAAGAACAAUUCAACGAUCAUUGGUUCUGUUUCCCAACUACUGACGACGUCCUUUUGCUGAAUUCCUGAUUAUUAUUAGACUGCUGAAAAUUUCAAAUGUGUAUCACCUAUUGUGCUAUCGAAAAUCUCAAGAUACUGAUCAAGGUUCGCAUCGUAGCAAGUUCCAUCAAUACAAAACUUCGUUUCGACUCUGAGAUCUGCACUUAUGAAUUCAACAUGAGUAAUUAUUAGAAAGCUGUGAAAUUUGAUAAUUUGGCCACCUACCUGCUCAUUUCAUAGAAUUACGACUUACAAGAUGACCAUCAUCGUCGCGUGUCGGUACUUACGUACUUACUACUUAUCUACCUAUCUAUUGUCGAGAUUUACAUGCUAUUCUCAGCCCACUCAUUCAAGAUUAGAAAACUCAUACUCAAAAAACUUAGUCGAGUCUUUUCGUUCAUCUCGAAAUAUAAAUUUGAUGUGUAGUAUCAGGUCAUAACAAAGAUAUCUGAUUAGACUUCCAGGAUGAGUGGUAAGUUCUGAAAAUUGAGAUAUAUAUUCAGUACAUUUAUUGUGAAUUCAAAAUGACACAAAAAUAUUCACCAGCUACGUACAUUGCUUAUUAUCGGACAUCAUAUUCUUACAAAGUAGAUUUCUUUUGUGAAAUGUGAUCGUAUGCUCUAACUCUAGAUAUGUAUCAAAUAUUGUAUAAUGAUGUUCAUUUUGUAAAAAUGAUGAUAUUGUGAGGCAAUUUUGGAAAUGUAUUUUGUAGAACAAAUUCAUUUUGUCAUUCCCAAAUAAUUCUGUGUGCCAUCACAGUGGGACAGAUUCAUUUUUUAGGGUAUCAAAAAUCAUAUUUCAGAAAUGAAUGCGAAUUUUGACGUCAAUCGUUUCGCUACAGAGGUAUUUUGAGGCGCUGAAUUCAUUUUUGACGUUAUUUUGGUUUGAACCCCAAAUGGGGCCCCAGCAGGGGGGUGAAAAGGGGUAAAUUUUCGAAAAAGUCGAGUGGGAUAUCGAUAUGUAUGUUUUUUGGGCCCUAGAAUUCAUUUUUGAGGUUAUUUUGGUUCGAAACCCAAAUGGGGCCCCGGGGGGGGGGGGUGCAAAUGGGCAAAUUUUUGAAAAAGUUGAGUGGGGUAUCAAUAUGUACGUUUUUUGGGUUCCAGAAUUCUUUUUUGACGUUAUUUUGGUAUGAAACCUAACGGGACCCCACGAUGGGGGGUGCAACCGGGCAAAUUUGGCAUAAAAAAUGGAAUUUUUAGUAAUUUUGUUGAAAAUCUGUGAUUUUUCAAAGUCCAAUUAUGGGAGAAUCGGGACGUUUCGGGAAAAAGUAUUCAUCUACCAUGAAACCUCAUACUAUAAGGGA